rnacentral:rRNA from 1 species
AUGCACGCUGGCGGCGUGCCUAAUCCAUGCCAGUCGAGCGAACAGAUAAGGAGCUUGCUCCUUUGACGUUAGCGGCGGACGGGUGAGUAACACGUGGAUAACCUACCUAUAAGACUGGGAUAACUUCGGGAAACCGGAGCUAAUACCGGAUAACAUAUUGAACCGCAUGGUUCAAUAGUGAAAGGCGGCUUUGCUGUCACUUAUAGAUGGAUCCGCGCCGUAUUAGCUAGUUGGUAAGGUAACGGCUUACCAAGGCAACGAUACGUAGCCGACCUGAGAGGGUGAUCGGCCACACUGGAACUGAGACACGGUCCAGACUCCUACGGGAGGCAGCAGUAGGGAAUCUUCCGCAAUGGGCGAAAGCCUGACGGAGCAACGCCGCGUGAGUGAUGAAGGUCUUCGGAUCGUAAAACUCUGUUAUCAGGGAAGAACAAAUGUGUAAGUAACUGUGCACAUCUUGACGGUACCUGAUCAGAAAGCCACGGCUAACUACGUG